rnacentral:rRNA from 1 species
GUUAGGAAUAUUGGACAAUGGGCGAAAGCCUGAUCCAGCCAUGCCGCGUGAACGAUGAAGGCCUUCGGGUUGUAAAGUUCUUUAGCCGAUGAUUAUAAUGACUGUAGUCGGAAAAUAAGCCCCGGCUAACUUCGUGCCAGCAGCCGCGGUAAUACGAAGGGGGCGAGCGUUAUUCGGAAUCACUGGGCGUAAAGCGUGCGUAGGCGGUCUCGUAAGUUAGGAGUGAAAGCCCAGGGCUCAACCUUGGAAUUGCUCUUAAAACUGCAAGGCUAGAAUCUCGGAGAGGAUAGCGGAAUUUCCAGUGUAGCAGUGAAAUGCGUAGAUAUUGGAAGGAACACCAGUGGCGUAAGCGGCUAUCUGGACGAGUAUUGACGCUGAGGCACGAAAGCGUGGGGAUCAAACAGGAUUAGAUACCCGGGUAGUCC